rnacentral:rRNA from 1 species
CAGUCGAACGAAGCACCUCUCCCGAAGAUUGACACAGCUUGCUGUAGAUUGAUUCAUUUGAGGUGACUGAGUGGCGGACGGGUGAGUAACGCGUGGGUAACCUGCCUCAUAGAGGGGGACAACAGUUGGAAACGACUGCUAAUACCGCAUAGUAAGAAAGAUUCGCAUGUUUCUUUCUUGAAAGAUUUAUCACUAUGAGAUGGACCCGCGUCUGAUUAGCUAGUUGGUAAGGUAACGGCUUUCCAAGGCGACGAUCAGUAGCCGGCUUGAGAGAGUGAACGGCCACAUUGGGACUGAGACACGGCCCAAACUCCUACGGGAGGCAGCAGUGGGGAAUAUUGCACAAUGGGGGAAACCCUGAUGCAGCGACGCCGCGUGAGUGAAGAAGUAUUUCGGUAUGUAAAGCUCUAUCAGCAGGGAAGAUAAUGACGGUACCUGACUAAGAAGCCCCGGCUAACUACGUGCCAGCAGCCGCGGUAAUACGUAGGGGGCAAGCGUUAUCCGGAUUUACUGGGCGUAAAGGGUGCGUAGGUGGCAAGGCAAGUCAGAUGUGAAAGCCCGGGGCUCAACCCCGGUACUGCAUUUGAAACUGUCUGGCUAGAGUGCAGGAGAGGUAAGCGGAAUUCCUAGUGUAGCGGUGAAAUGCGUAGAUAUUAGGAGGAACACCAGUGGCGAAGGCGGCUUACUGGACUGUAACUGACACUGAGGCACGAAAGCGUGGGGAGCAAACAGGA